rnacentral:rRNA from 1 species
GACGAACGCUGGCGGCGUGCUUAAAACAUGCAAGUCGAACGGGGUCCAUCCUUCGGGAGAAGACCUAGUGGCGAACGGGUGAGUAACACGUGAGCAACCUACCCCAGAGACUGGGAUAAGCCAGGGAAACUUGGUCUAAUACCGGAUAAUCUCAUCCCGCUACUAACGGGUUGAGCAAAUGGUUUUUCGCUUUGGGAUGGGCUCGCGGCCUAUCAGCUUGUUGGUGGGGUAACGGCCUACCAAGGCAUCGACGGGUAGCUGGUCUGAGAGGAUGGUCAGCCACACUGGGACUGAGACACGGCCCAGACUCCUACGGGAGGCAGCAGUUAGGAAUCUUGCGCAAUGGGCGAAAGCCUGACGCAGCAACGCCGCGUGAGGGAUGACGGCUUUCGGGUUGUAAACCUCUUUCAGCAGGAACGAAAAUGACGGUACCUGCAGAAGAAGCACCGGCCAACUACGUGCCAGCAGCCGCAGUAAAAC